CAGUAGCCGCGGUAAUACGGAGGGUGCAAGCGUUAUCCGGAUUUAUUGGGUUUAAAGGGUCCGUAGGCGGACUUAUAAGUCAGUGGUGAAAGCCUGUCGCUUAACGAUAGAACUGCCAUUGAUACUGUAAGUCUUGAGUAUAUUUGAGGUAGCUGGAAUAAGUAGUGUAGCGGUGAAAUGCAUAGAUAUUACUUAGAACACCAAUUGCGAAGGCAGGUUACCAAGAUAUAACUGACGCUGAGGGACGAAAGCGUGGGUAGCGAACAGGAUUAGAUACCCCUGUAGUCCCUGUCUCUUAUAC
rnacentral:rRNA from 1 species